rnacentral:rRNA from 1 species
UACGUAGGUGGCAAGCGUUGUCCGGAUUUAUUGGGUUUAAAGGGUGCGUAGGCGGCUUUGUAAGUCAGUGGUGAAAUAUGGCAGCUCAACUGUCAAGGUGCCAUUGAUACUGCGGAGCUUGAGUACAGAUGAGGUAGGCGGAAUUGACGGUGUAGCGGUGAAAUGCUUAGAUAUCUGGAGGAAUACCGGUGGCGAAGGCGGCAUCCUGGACCGACAUUGACGCUGAGGAGCGAAAGCUAGGGGAGCAAACGGG